CCCACUGUGUGGCGGCGCUCCGGCCGGGGGUCCACUCUCCAGUCGCGUGGCCGUCGUGUGGGCGGCCCCGGGGGAGGCCGGAGGGGAGUCGGAAGCUCACAGGCGUCUCCCGAACCAGAGAGCGGUGUGACAUGGGAGUGCGUAGGCAGCAAACCGCAAAUUAGACGGCGCAUUUAAUGACACACCGGCCAAAACCGAUGAGCUGUCUGGAAUCAGCCGAGAGACUGCGAGCCGUCGACCGUAAGGACCGAGUGCUGGGAGGGAGGACGCCAGGCUGCCGGCCCUUAGUGGCCCCAGCACCCUCAGCCAGGACGUGGGGCGUCUCACCCUGCAGCUGAGGAAGCAUCAGAAGCGGCCAGGUUCAUCGACACUGCCGCACGUGACAGAUUCCUUGUUAGGAGACGGAGGGAUCUCGUACGGAAGGAAUGCGUCGCGACGACCCACUCACCAUCGUGGACACUUGGGUUGCUCCCACCUUUCAGCUGUUACAAGUAAUACACUAUGAACACGGGCACACAGACAUGUCUUCGAGAUCCUGCUUCUGGUCCCGUUGUACAUAUGCCCAGGGGUGGAAUUGCUGGGCCACAGAGUAGUUGUGUUUAAUUUCUGCCAAACCUCCACGCCGGCUGCACCAGCGGCACAGUCGCCACGGGGCACGAGGGCUGCCUUUCUCCGCAUCCUUGUCAAUACUUGCUUCCUGUCGCUCCGACAGUAACCAUCCUCAUGGGUAGGAGGCCUGACUUUUUUUUGAACUUGCAGUGUUCAGAUCGACACUAACAAGAAGCAGCUUUCCUCUUGCAAAAGAAUCCAAAAGUAUCAGUAACAUCUGGUAAAGUGAAUGCUGUGUAUCUCUGAGUCCUACUUCAGCCAUAUUUUCCAUAUUUGAGGUCCAUCCCAAUUAAGCUUGAACUCCCGUGAAAGAAAUCCAUUUCCUUUCUCGAAAUCCUGCUUUUCAACUUUCAUGUUCCUUUGGGGAAAAGUAAGAUUGCUGACUCAGAGUUUAGUCAGUUCAAAAUUUUCU